UCUAGCCUCGCGCCGGCCUCCAGCUCCCGGCUCCCGGGGCUGAGGUGGAGCCGGAGGACGCCGGCAGGGCUGUGGCGCAGCAGUCUCCUUCCUGCGCGCGCGCCUGAAGUCGGCGUGGGCGUUUGAGGAAGCUGGGUGAGUCCUGUCUGCGGGUCUUCGGCGCCAGGCAACCCUAGAGGGCUCGCGCCCGCCGCCCGCGGGAUACAGCAUUUAAUGAAAAAUUUAUGGUUAAGAAGUAAAAAUGGCAGGCUUCCUAGAUAAUUUUCGUUGGCCAGAAUGUGAAUGUAUUGACUGGAGUGAGAGAAGAAAUGCUGUGGCGUCUGUUGUCGCAGGUAUAUUGUUUUUUACAGGCUGGUGGAUAAUGAUUGAUGCAGCUGUGGUGUAUCCUAAGCCAGAACAGUUGAACCAUGCCUUUCACACAUGUGGUGUAUUUUCCACGUUGGCUUUCUUCAUGAUAAAUGCUGUGUCCAAUGCUCAGGUGAGAGGUGAUAGCUAUGAAAGCGGCUGUUUAGGAAGAACAGGUGCUCGAGUUUGGCUUUUCAUUGGUUUCAUGUUGAUGUUUGGGUCACUUAUUGCUUCCAUGUGGAUUCUUUUUGGUGCAUAUGUUACACAAAAUACUGAUGUUUAUCCGGGACUAGCUGUGUUUUUUCAAAAUGCACUUAUAUUUUUUAGCACUCUGAUCUACAAAUUUGGAAGAACUGAAGAGCUAUGGACCUGAGAUCACUUAAGUCACAUUUUCCUUUUGUUAUAUUCUGUUUGUAGAUAGGUUUUUUAUCUCUCAGUACACAUUGCCAAAUGGAGUAGAUUGUACAUUAAAUGUUUUGUUUCUUUACAUUUUUAUGUUCUGAGUUUUGAAAUAGUUUUAUGAAAUUAUUUUUCAUUGCAUAGACUGUUCAUAUGUAUAUAAUACAAGACUAUAUGAAUUGGAUAAUGAGUAUCAGUUUUUUAUUCCUGAGAUUUAGAACUUGAUCUGUUCCCUGAGCCAAGGUUAUAUCAUCUUGUCAUUUUAGAAGUAACCACUCUUUCUCUCUGGCUGGGCGUGGUGGCUCAGCCUGUAAUCCCAGCACUUUGGGAGGCCGAGUUGGGCAGAUUGCUUGAGGUCAAGUGUUCGAGACCAGCCUGGCCAACAUUGCGAAACCCCGUCUGCUAAAAAUACAAAAAUUAGCCAGGCGUGGUGGUGGGUGCCUGUAAUCCCAGCUACCUGGGAGGCUGAGGCAGGAGAAUCGCUUGAACCUGGGGGCGGAGGUUGCAGUGAGCUGAGUUUGCGCCACUGCACUGUAGCCUGGGGGACAAAGUGAAACUCCCUCUCCAAAGAAAAAAAAGACCACUCUCAGUAUCUCUAAUUUCUGAAGAUGUACAAAAAAAUACAGCUUCAUAUAUCUGGAAUGAGCACUGAGCCAUAAAAGGUUUUCAGCAAGUUGUAAUUUAUUUUGGCCUAAAAAUUAGGUUUUUUUUGUAAAGGAAAAAUGUUUGUUCUUAUGUUUUGAAGAAGUGUACUUUUAUAUAAUGAUUUUAUUAAAUGCCCAAAGGACUAGUUUGAAAGCUUCUUUUAAAAAGAAUUCCUCUAAUACGACUUUAUGUGAGAAGGGAUAAUACAUGAUCAAAUAAACUCAGUUUUUUAUGGUUACUGUAAAAAGACUGUGUAAGGCAGCUCAGCCUCAUGCUUCUCAUAAAAGCAGCUUAAAUUAUCCACUGGGGUUAUCUUUUGACAACCUGCCAUUAUCUGAUGUUACACAAUUCAAUAGCAAGCAAGUUUGAGACAAUCGCAGUUUAAAAGCAUGAACCAUUUAACAAAAGGUGGAAUAAUUAAAGAUAAAGCACUUCUUCCCAAAGGGAAUUAUCACAUAGGGAAAAUUAGGCGUUUCAUCUACUCAGUUACCGACUGCAAGUCUCUCUUCGCUCUAGCUCUCAAGCUUUGGGUGAAUGUUCCUGCGAAAUAUAUCUUCAACUUGAAAGUUCAUACUCCAAUCAAAAACUCCUUUUACUGAGUUUGCAGUACUGUAUUUGCACUGUUUGUAUUCCUCUGGGCCCUUAUUGCUACUUUUGCUUUCCUUUGUUACACAGAUUUUGUGUUGCACUUUUUCUCCAGAGGGGUGUUGUAGAGCCUUUGUUGUAUGAAUAAUACCAGUGGUAGUGUCCACAGCUCAAAUGCAAGCCCGUUUGGCAUCACUCCUCUCUUCUUUCUGAGAGGAUUUCUUGUGCACAGAGUAUGAAGCAGUUGUGGAGCGCUGUGCCUUUGUCAAGAUACCAUCUUGUUUGAUGACUUCUUUGCUAUUUUUUCUUCAAAAUGCUGGAGUGCAGUGAUGCAACCACAGCUCACUGCACCUUCAAAUGCUGGGGCUCAAGCAAUCCUCUUACCUCUGCUUUCCAAGUAGCUGGGACCACAGAUGUAUCCUCCAUUCCUCGCUGGGCACUAUCCUGCUGCCCAACAGAAGCAGCUCUUCUGUCUCCGAUUUCCUGAACGGUCGAAGGGACAGGCCUUUUGGAGGCAGGAAAAGGGAAUACUGGUCUCUGGAAAGUCCAGACAGAAUUCCGGCAGCUCUGAUGGCUCGAUGAUCUCUUCCAGGGAGCCGGUGGGCUAGACCCAUGCUUUGGUUCAAAGUGUUUGGAAAACAUCUUCUUGCUCCUUUUCUGGAAACGAGAUAAUGGAUACAGAGUCCCAGACAUCAUCCUUUGGACCAGGAAGAAACAGGCUCCUGCCAGCACCAACAGCAAUGAAAAUGUUCCCACAGAGAUCAGGAUGACUUGCUGAAGCUCAGUGGAGGCUAAAACGAGGACACGAAAGUGAACAGAAUGAUCUUCCCACACACAACACAAACAUCAGUUAAUGUUCCAUCCAUGCUGCUUAAAGAGCAUUCCUGUCCUAGUAAAAUGGGCAAGUCCCCCUACCCCCACCCUCCCCUGGUAUGCUUACAUGAAUAGCUAAAGUCAAUCCUGUAAUGAAAUAAAGCAAGCGGUAGCUGUCUGGCAGCCUCCACUA